GGUAGCAUCCAAGGAGCUGUGGGCCCUGAUGGUGCUCUCAGCCCAAAUCUAAGUCCUUGGUAUCACAGUAGGGUUUGGGACCCUGGAACCUGGUGGCCCACAGGAGUGAAGUCCUCUGAUGAGAGAGUCCUGCAUGUCCUGGGCCUGAGCUGCAGGGGGCUACCUCAUGUGGCCCCAUCUUGGAGAUGGGCAUUUAGUCCACACUGGCUACCCAGUAGGGGGGCCAGCAGCCAGCCUCAUAAAUGCCCCAUCUCCUUGAGGACAAGACAGGUGGUCCCAAAUGGGAGGCUCUUUGUCAGGUCUCAGCUUAGUGUCUCCUUUGAAGGGAUCUUCACUGAUGUAUGUAGUUUCUCCUGGGUUCCCCAGCUCUUUGUGUGUUUGCUUCCUAGUGUUUGUUAUAACCUGUGACAUCGGGACCUGCAUGCACACUGAAUAUGGGCUGCCAGAGUCCUGCCACUGACUGGGCUAUUCCACUUCUGCUUCCUUGCCAGAAUGAAGUGGGUUAAUGAAUCCAAAGAGCUGAGGACAGGGGCUGCAGGUAGUUAAGUGCUUAGUAAUUAUCAAUGGUCUGUAUACUAGAACAUGUACUGUGAGAAGCAGAACCUUGUCUCCACUUUUGAUUAUGUCCAGAUGUGUCUACCCAGUGACACAGCUCAGCAGUAUAGCAGAAUACUGUAAUAUUAGGUCUGAGUGGCUGCCCAGCCUGCCAAGUCGUUAUACUGCAUGUUGCCAACACAGGAAAAGAACAAAAUUCAAAGUACAGUUUGUACUGAGUGCAUGUCACUUGUACCAUCUUAAAGUCAAAAAGAUCAAAAGUUGACUCAUUGGAAGUCAGGGAUCAUUUGCACACAGACACAUGUUUACGUAGGUGCUUGUGUACCCCCAGUCACCUUGUGAGGCAGGUGUCAGCCCCACAGUACCAAUGGAGUAGGUCUAAAUGGGGAAAAUGUUACCCAUGUUGAUCCUGCCAUGCUUCCUGUGUGCCAGUCAUGAGCCGAGAAUCUAACAUCCCAGAUCCCUGGCCACAGACAAAGGGGGUCCUUGGGCUGUGAUGUGCCUUUGAGGGCUGACACCUCCAGAGCUCAACGCAACCUCUACUUCAGCCUUACCCAGUUCAAAAACCCUGCUGGAUUCUUGACAACCCUGCUGUCUUCCUGGACCCUUGCUGCCACACCCUGCCUUUUCCCUCUCAGAUCACUAACCCAGACCAAGAGGGUUGUUGUCGGAGUUGGGUGGCUUGAACUUGCUUAAACCUCCCAUCCUUCCCGCCUGAGGAGGCCCACCUCUUGGCUCACCUCACCUCUGACACUGGUCUGUGCAUGUGGCUCACUGGCUCAUUCUGCCACAUCACCUAGUGAGGCCUCUCCACACCCUUGCUUCAGUUCAGCAUUGAGGUGCAGUCAGUCUUACUUGUCUACCUGUGUGCUGGUGAGUAGGACCCAGCAAAGGUUCUGCCAGCCUUCUGACCCUGGCUGAGGCAGAACUGCCCAAGUGCAUGCAUGAAAAGAUGGCAAAUGUGUGUGGUUUUUAGCCAAUUUUUUUUUUUUUCCAUACCCGAGAUUGAACUUGAGCACACAUCCCCAGCCCUUUUUAUUUUUUGAGACAGGGUCUCACUAAAUUGCUUAGUGUCUCCCUAUCUAGACACCUUUCUGAAAUGCUUAAAGAAUCCUAACUGGCUGGAUUUGAACUCUGAUCCUCCUGCCUCAGCCUCCUGAGCUGCUGGGAUUACAGGCAUGCAUCAUCACACCCAGCUCCAAGAUUUUUUUCUCAACAAAUUUUCAACUGAGAAUUAAUGUAAGAUUUGCCCUUUUAUUUUUUGUUAAUUAAUUUUUGGUACCAGGGAUUGAACCCAGGGUUACUUAAUCACUGAGCCAUCCCAGAGCUUCAUUUUUUGAGACAGGGUCUUGCCAAGUUGCUGAGGCUGACUCGACCUGCAAUCUUCCUUCCUCAAUUUCCCCAGCCACUGGGAUUAUAAGCAUGUGCCACCAUGCCCAGCUCUCUUUUUUAUUUUGAUACAGUCUAGUUUGCUGAGGCUGGCUUUGAACUUGGGAAUCUUCCUUGGGCCUUUCAAGUUGCUGGGACUGCCACCAUGCCUAGCCCAAAUUCACCUUUUUAUGGUGCACAAUUCAGUAAUUUUUAGUCUAUUCAUAAUAAAGUUGUGUGGUCACAACCAUUAAUUCCAGAACAUUUUCAUCAUGCAAACAGGACUCCACAUCUUGAAACAUCAUUCCCAUCCUCCACCUCCCUCCAGCUUUGGCAACUGCCAGUUGCCGUGUGCAGGCAGCAGACAUCUUGUAUGAAUGGGUCGAGCACAGUGUGACCUGUGGUGUCUUGGCGUCCUCUGCUAGCCCAGUGCUUUGCUCCCGUGUGGAGGCUGCCUCACUUGGCACUCUGUGCUCAUCUUGUUGACAUGUGGCUCACAGUAUGUCUCCCCAUUUGCCUGGAAACAGAGGACAGUGUAUGCCUCGGCUUUCUUCUUGCCUGCCACCCCCCCCCCCCGCCAGCACCCAGCACAAUUCCUGGCACAGGGAUGGUGCUCAGCCAGCAAAUGUGUAGGUCCAUGUCACCAGUACUCCUACUGGGGACAGUUCCGGUUUUUGCUACUGUAUUUCAGAGUACUCCCAGUGGACUGCCACAGGACACACUUCAUUCUCCCAGCAAUACUGUGUGACUACCCGUCAACAUGUGAGGCUUGCCAACCAGGGACGCUCCACCAAGCCUUGGCAUCCAGCGUUCUGACUGGGCCCGAGUGGAGCGCCCACGUGGGAGCCCAGUAGGCAUGGCUCAAGGCCUCAGUAAGACACCUGCCUUCCAGGAUAUUCCAAGGGCUCCAGAGUUAUACCUCCCAGGAACCAGUCAUGGGCCAGAGUUCCUGAGACGGGCUUGCUUCGAAAUGUGCAGGGUUAGAGCAACCCAGGUCUACUGAGUUAACCUGCUCUUGACCCAGACUCUCUUACAACAAAAUGACAGACUUGUCUUAGGGACUAUGUGUAGCAUACUGGUUAAUGAGAUUCAGCUACAGGUCCCAACCUCUCAGGAGGCUAGAGGCUAAGGCAGGAGGAUAGCAAGUUCAAGGUUAGCCUUGGCAACUUAGUGAGAUUGUGUCUCAAAAUGAAAAAUCAAAAGUUUGGAGGUAUAGCUCAUCGGUAGAACUCCCUGGGUUAAAUUUCCAGUACUGGGGGAGGGGAAGAGGAAUGCAUACCUUCAACAAGGUUUUACCAUCUCACUGUUCCAGUUAGAGCACAUGAGAUUUUCUAUUGUUCCACCAUUUUGUCAACACUUGGUAUUAUCAGAUUUUAUAAUUGUUGGUAAUUUCUUUUUUUUUGAGAGAGAAUUUUAAUAUUUAUUUUUUAGUUUUCGGUGGACACAACAUCUUUGUUUGUAUGUGGUGCUGAGGAUCGAACCCGGGCCGCAAGGAUGCCAGGGGAGCGCGCUACCGCUUGAGCCACAUCCCCAGCCCAAUUGUUGUUCUCGGUGGACACAACAUCUUCGUUUGUAUGUGGUACUGAGGAUCGAACCCGGGCCGCACGCAUGCCAGGGGAGCGCGCUACCGCUUGAGCCACAUCCCCAGCCCUAUAUUUUAUAUUUUUGACAUUCAUGUUGUUUUGGGGUCUCAGCUGAGCAGUCCAUUGUAUGAAUUCACCAGGUUCUUUGCUCAUUCAUGUGUUGAUGAAACAUUUGGGUUGUUUCCAGUUUUGCCUGUUACAAAUAAAGCUUCUAUAAGAUUCA